UGGGAGGUGUCUCUGCCCAGAGCAGGGCUGGGAUGGGAUGGUUUGGAAGUUUCCUUCCAUCCCAAACAAUUCUGGGAUGUUUGCAGGGUACUUUAGGAGCCACAGUGAAACCCAAGGGUUCCUCUGGUUCUCCCACACUCCUGGUGGUUCAUCCCAUGCCGCUGGAAGCCGGAAAACCCCCCCAUCCCAGAGCUGGAGUUACAUUUAAAUAUAUGGCCUUUUUUUGUUCAACUUCCCUCACAGAGUUGUUUUCCAAAAUAAUUUAUAGGGAAGUGUUAGAAUGCAAAUAAUAUCCUUUUUCUUUUCCAUAGACUCAUUCAACAUUUCCAUUUCCAUUUCCCUCCGAGUUGAUUUAUGGGAAUUCUCAGCAGCCUUAUCCAUAAUUCAUAAACAAUCCCUAUUUUUUUAUAUCCCUUAAGCUGCUUUGAUUCCCUCUUCCAUAUCCUUGAUUCUUUCCUCCUUUUCCCUGGAAAAAGUGGUGCUGUUGCUAUGGGAACUUCUCCUUCCCACCAGUUUUUGGAUUUUCUUUUUUUCCCUCCUUUUGCCUUUCAGAAGGAACUUUUGCUCCAUGACUGGAUCCUUUCCCUUCUCCCUCCCAGCUCGGCUGCUUCAACUGGGAAAAGCUUUUCCCAGGAUCUUAGCAAUGCAGGAGCCUUUUGGAGAUGUUGGUCCCAAAUCCACCAGCUCAUCCCACAAUUCCAGCUGGGAUGGACAGACAAGGAGGAGAUUCCCAACCUGCCCAGUUUUCCAAGUGCCCGAGGAAAAUGAUCGAGUGGGAUGAAGGACCAUGUUCCAGGAUGGAAUUGGCCAUCCAGCAGAAGGGACACGUUCCUACUUCCAGGGAAAUCCAGCUGAGCCAAGUUAUUCCCUGGUGGGAUUUGUUUUGGUGGUGGCCACAGGUGUUUUCCCCACUGAUGUCCAGCAGCUCCUCAUGCUUGGAACCAGGAAUUUCAGGCUCUUUGUGUAUCUCCACCAUUCCCAAGAUCCAUGAAAUCAAAGGAUGAAUCUCUUGGCAUUUCUCCAAAUCCAAGAUUUCCUGCUCAAGGAAUCAAAGAUUUCUCAGCCUCGGUGCAAUGCCAGCUGCAGGUGCUGGUUGGAUCAAAUAUUCCUGACCUGAGGAAUUCCCAGCCUCAACUCCAUGGAAGCAGGAGAGGUUUGGAGCAGGAAUCUUGUGGCUGUUGUGGGAUUUCCCUGUCUCCAGUUGAAUUAAUGAAGUGGAAUCUGGGAUCCUGGAGAAUUAAUCCAGUAUGCAAUGACCCUGCAAUCUGGAAUUUGUUGGCUCUAAUGGACUCUCAUGGCUGGGGAAUCUGAACUCCUUGAGAGCUCUCUCUGUUUUCUUGAAAAAACCCAAAAUCCAGCAAAAUUUCCACAACAACCCAAUUCCAGGCAGUGAUGCUGAUCCCGUGUCCCAGCCAGGGUUUGACAUUCCAGGAUUAUCCUUGGGAACUGGUGACAGAUUCCCUGCUUGUGAAGAGCUCUGACGGGUUUUAGAGCAUGGGUCCAGGCUGGAAAAGUGGGAAUUCCUUCAUGGACACAGGUGCUGCUCCUGUGAUGUAUCCAUGGUCCCAGUGAGCCCUGGAUUUGGGAAUAUUCCCUGCUGAGGCACUCGGUGCUCCCCACAAUGUUCUCCUCAUUAAAAGGUGGGACCCCAAGCAGUGACCCCCAAACUGCUCCCAUUUGGAUCCUCCCUGUGUGGAGGAGACCCCAAGACUCCCUGGAAUUGCAGGAAGGCCACGAUUCCCUGCUCCCUUUCCAUCAGCACUGGAAUAGGCACUUCUUCCCGUGCCCAGGAGAGCUGGAGAGGGAAUUUCAGCAGAUAGAAACAGGGAAUUCAUCCCUCCCUCCUCCCAGAGCAGCAGGGGGAGUGUCCAGAGCUUCCCAUCCUUCCUCCUGCAAAUCCAUGGAGCAACCGCCAAUAAAUGGAUCAGGCAGCUCAAGGUUCAUACUUCCAAAGGUUUUAUUGGAUUGUGUGCUUGAGGUAUCAUAGCAUUUCCCUCGCCUGCUGCUAAUUCCCGAUGGAAAAUCCCUGAAAGGGAAAGAUUUUCCAGGCAACUUUCAGCGGGACUCAGCAAAACGUUUUAAUGACGGAUUCCUGCUUUUAUUUCUGCUGAGGAGGCUGGGGCUGGAGACAGGCACAUGGAUCAGCAGGAAUUGCAGGGCUCAUAAAUAAACCAGGACGAAAUGAGAUUCUUAUUAAAAAAAUGGAUUUCUUUUCCUUUUUUUUUUUUACUUGCUUGAGAUUUAAUUUUUAAAUCCAAAGGAAAGGGAUGAAAGCAUCCGUUAAUUCAGCCCAUGAUGACUUCAGCAGAGAGAAUGAAAAGGAAGACAAAAUGUGCUUUUUCCUCCACGUAUUUGUGAAAUUCCUCAAGUUUUUCACAAUUCCUAAGGCCAGGAUGGUGUGGUCAGAAUUCCUGGCUUUUCCUUAUCACUCCAUAUUCGACUUGGGACAAAUAAAUAGAAAACAAUGGAUAAUUCCUGCUAUUUCCUGGUGCUGCCUGAAGCAACAUGAAUUUCUCCACUCCACAGCAUCCCAUAUAUUGUCCCAUAAAUAAAGAACAGGGUAUUCCCUCCGAAUGACACCAUUCCCAAUAUUUCUGCCUUUCUGUGGAAUUCAAAUCCCUCCCUCAGCAUAAAAACACCCAAGGAAUGAUUUUGUCACAGGCCAGGACAAGCUCUGAGUUCGAAGCUUCUCAGAAAAGCAAAUGAAAAGAUCCAAGGAAAAGAAUUUAAGGGAUAAUCAGGAGAGGAAUAAUAUAAGUUGGAAAGGCCAGGUUAAAGGCUGGGCUUGUUCCUGGGAGAACGGAAUUCCCACCUGGCUCCAACUUCCUGUCAGGAAUUGUAGGGAGCAAGAUCGAAUUCCUUUCUCUGUCACUGCAGUGGGUGGGGAACAGGGAAAAACAUUUCAGAUUUGGAUUUUCCAAGAUUUUUGGACUCUCAAUGCCAGGAUAUUUGUGUAAGAAAAUUGGAGGAAUAGAUUCCGGCCUUCCAGGACCUGAAGGAUCUGCGGGAAAGAUGGAAAGAGACAACUUCCAAGGGCAAGAAGGCUAAAACCCAGGCUAUAAAGAUAUAACUGGUUUGAGAGAGGGAAAGCAGGAAUCAAGGGAUCUGGAUGUCUCAACCCCAUGGAAACAUUAAAUUAAAUCCAUUAAAACAUCUAUUAAAUCCAGGCAUUCCAAUUCUCCAUGAACACAAACUCCUGGCUGAGGGUUUAUUAGGGUCCAGUUAAAAUAUCUGCGGAUUAUUUUCCUCCCUUUCUUACCUGUCCAAGGCACAGCCAUUUCCAGGGAAUGAGCAGCAAUCCCAUAUUCCGUGAGCACUCUGACUUCCAGUAUUUAUUAUUUCCCAGGGUGUAUUUUCCCACCUCAAACAUUUACAUGGACAUUUAGCACGGUUACUUAUUCCAGAGAAAAAACUGCUGGAUUUAUCCAAAUGUUAUUAUGUGCAGUAAAAAAACCCCUCAUUUUCCCAGCCGAAGCUGUGGUUUUAUCCCAGAAAAUUGGGCUUUUUAUUUAUUUCAUUUUCCUUCUCAGCAGUUCCCAGGAAUGCAAAAUGACAAAACAAUUCCCAGUACAAUAGAGGCGUUCUUGGGCUGCUGGAGUAACUCCUGGCAGUGGGAAGUUCAUGGAAAUCUCUGCUCUGGAGGUGGUUUCAGGAAUGGCAGAACAUCAAAAAUGCAUCGGAAUUUUGCCUCCAAUGUUGCCUGAAAUCGCCUGGAAGUAUCUGUGGAUUUUCCCCCCAAAGAGCCCGGAAAUGCAAAUUAAAAUUCAAUAAUUUGUUCAUUACCUUCCCAAAUGCAAAUAACGUUCUCUAAACGCUUGGAAAUAAAUGUCAUUGAUCCUUGGGAGGCCGAGCAGCUCCGCAGCUGCCAGCACUCUCCCUCAGCUCACGGAUUAAUUGUGUUCCCUCUGCUGCCUUAUUUCCACAUGCCAAAUUCCACAUGUUCCAGGUGAAAUUCACCUGAGGGGGAAACUUGACGUGCAGAGAUAUCGAAUGGCUUCAGGUUCCACUGUGCAGAAGGUCCAGAAUGACAUCGUGUUAUCCACACCCGCAGGACUGGACGCCCCUGCACGUCCCUGCCAGCCUGGAGAGGGGUCUGUGCUCAGUGGUGGGACGGUGACGCUCUGCAGGCCGAGCGGAGGGACCUUUGCAGAUCCUGCUGCCCACCCUCACCGCAGCCAAAGUCGCUGGCAAAGGAGCCUGGAUUCACUGCUCCACAGUUAGAAAGGCUUCUGCUCCUGAAACAGCUGAGAAAACAGGGGCUGAUACAAACGAAGUGAAUCGAUAAAAAGCUCGGUAUUCAUGGACAGAAACUCUCUGACUAAUUAAAGUUAGGAAGUGGUGUGUUAAUUACAGGCGGGCGGCACGGGAGUCGCCUCCUAGAGACGUGGCAGCCCCUCACACGGUGAUCUGCCCUCUGUUUAUUUCACCAAGAGUUCCACGUUAAUCCCAUACGUAUCUCCAGCACCUCCCAGCCCCGCUUCCCAUUAAAAUGCGGUUAUUAGUCCUGUGCACGUGCGCAGUUCUUUUCUUGAUUUGGGCCGUGGUCUGGAUUUGAGCCAGUGGUCUUGAAAGAUGAAGUCGGGGAUCUCUUCGUCACCAUGAACUUCCUACCUGCUGUUGUGGGCAAGCCUCGGGAAGCCUUCUGGAGACGGUCCAUGCCUCGUGCCUGUGUUUGAUCACGCAAUCUGGGUGCUGGCAUGAUUCCAUCAGCUUCUUUUGUCCUCAGGACAGUUCACGUACUGUAAGCAAAGUUUCAGACAGGCACAUAAGGGUAAAUAGCACUGUACUUCUUGGCUAAGUUCCUAACUCUUCGUUGACUUAUCUUUAGGUUCAAUCAGUACAAAUGGCUUCUGACUCUUGGCUAAAAGUUUAACUCUUCAUAAUCUUAACUCAGAAGAUGAUGUCGUUUAAAUGAUUUUCUCCUGUGCUUAUUAUCUACACAGUUGGUAACCCUGGCUCAGGUUCAGAACCAGAUUUUACAUGUGAUUCUAGUCCAAAGUGUAUCCAAAGACAUUCAUUUGGAUACAGAACUAAUAACUGACAUGUCAAUCAGAGUGAAAAGAUCCACAAAGUUUGUUUACAAUUUGAGAACUGACUCAGAUCUUACACUGGAUAACAUUCCAAGGUGAUUGUAUCUGCCCCGCCCUGGUUUCACAGUUACCAAACUGGCCCUGGACUAAAGAUUGUUUAUAAUGAUUGUAAUUACAAUUCUUGUUCAUAGAUCUAUACUGCUGUUAGACACAUCUUGUUAGUAGAUGUUUAGAAUAUUUAGAAGAGAGUCUCGACGAGGUAGAGGCCUUGUCAAGCCUCUGAAGUGGGGAAAUGAAGCCUUGGGUUUUAACUUUCCUGUUUCUCAGACCCCGCAGUGCCUGGUGUGUGACUCUGCAGUUCCUUGUACCCUGUUCACUGCUGCUCUCUGUGCCAGGCACACAGAACAAAGCCUCUCCGGGCCUGCUCUCCAAGGACACCCAGACCGUC